GAUGAAGAACGUAGCGAAAUGCGAUAAGUAAUGUGAAUUGCAGAAUUCAGUGAAUCAUCGAAUCUUUGAACGCACAUUGCGCCCGCCAGUAUUCUGGCGGGCAUGCCUGUUUGAGCGUCAUUUCAACCAUCAAGCCCCAGGCUUGUGUUGGGGACCUGCGGCUGCCGCAGGCCCUGAAAACCAGUGGCGGGCUCGCUGUCACACCGGGCGUAGUAGAUUUUAUCUCGCUCAGGGCGUGCUGCGGGUUCCGGCCGUUAAAAAGCCUUUUUUACCCAAGGUUGACCUCGGAUCAGGUAGGAAGACCCGCUGAACUUAAGCAUAUCAAUAAGCGGAGGA
rnacentral:misc_RNA from 1 species